rnacentral:rRNA from 1 species
GACGAACGCUGGCGGCGUGCUUAACACAUGCAAGUCGAGCGGAGCGGCGAACGGGUGAGUAACGCGUGAGUAACUGCCCCCCUCUCUGGGAUAACAGUUGGAAACGGCUGCUAAUACCGGAUAGUGGGGGAUGACUCGCGUCCUAUCAGCUUGUUGGUGGGGUAAAGGCCUACCAAGGCGACGAUCCGUAACUGGUCUGAGAGGAUGAUCAGUCACACUGGACUGAGACACGGUCCAGACUCCUACGGGAGGCAGCAGUGGGGGAUAUUGCACAAUGGGCGAAAGCCUGAUGCAGCGACGCCGCGUGGGGGAUGAAGGCUUUCGGGUUGUAAACCGCUUUCAGCCAUGACGCGGUAGUGGCAGAAGAAGCACCGGCUAACUACGUGCCAGCAGCCGCGGUAAUAC